UACGUAGGGGGCAAGCGUUGUCCGGAUUUAUUGGGCGUAAAGAGCGUGUAGGCGGCUUGGUAGGUCCGCUGUGAAAACUCGAGGCUCAACCUCGAGAUGUCGGCGGAAACCACUUGGCUAGAGUCCGGAAGAGGAGAGUGGAAUUCCCGGUGUAGCGGUGAAAUGCGCAGAUAUCGGGAGGAACACCAAUUGCGAAGGCAGCUCGCUGGGACGUUACUGACGCUGAGACGCGAAAGCGUGGGGAGCAAACAGG
rnacentral:rRNA from 1 species